UUCAACGUGAGAAGAUGGUGGAUAGGGUUCCUGCGCCACUUCAUAGCUGAAACCAUUUGCUCCUUGCCUCCUGGCAGUUGACCUAAGGUUAGAAGAACCACAGAAUAAUAGUGGAACGUGUGUGGAUCCAUCUUACAUACUCAAAAGCAAAUGACAUGAAUAGCGUUCACCAAACAAGCACAGCAGAUGCCACGGCUGAUCUUGAUUCCCGGCUAUUUUGGACUGGAGAGGAGGGGACGAAAAAACACACUCUUGCACUGAGCCCUGGAAGAAAACUAAAAAAUUCACAUAGCCAACUGCAAAACUAUUUUAAUCGAGAUCAGAUUCAGCAUUAGCUCACAGCUAAAUUCUUUUGGUUUAGGCAAUGUUCCAAAAAUGAUAAUUAUUUAUGAAAAAAAAACUUCAGACAAACUCAGAUUGGGUAUCUUAGCCGCGAGUUACAUAAACUUUCACAACCAGUUCAGUUAAAAUACACACAAAACAUCGUUACAUUUCAUUUCAUUGCUCCUUGCUUGAUUAAUUGUCAUGCUGUCAAUAUUCUAGAUUAAAAAUCUGACCUACCGCUUAAAAUUAGGUUUACAUCUAUUGUUAUAAAACGGAGCUGCCAAAGUAUCAACAUUUAUAAAUGUGCAGCGUUCAUGGCGGGAUGAGAUUUCCCCUGCAAACAUCUGGUUUAAAUAGAAGGAAACUUAUGGAUGUUUCAGUAGCUAUGUAUUCAAACUCUAAUCCGAAACAUACUUUUAUAGCCACCAUAAUUUGUUGGUUAACGCGGCAAUCUAGAAUUUAUAUCUCCUAACCCUUUUACUGUUAAGAGCCAGCACUGAAAACACAGGAGAAAAUCACAGAUAAAAAAAUCAUAAAAUGAGAUAGUGCUGAGAAACAACACCCAUUUUAUAUACACAGGAAUUAGACUCUCUUAACCAUUUGGCUCGAUUGUUUUCUGAAUAUAUACACAUAUGUAUUUAACGUGUCUGUUUAAAGUGUACACUUUGCCAUGGUGAAGGUAAGGAAGUAAGUGCGCUUGUUUCUAUCUUUCUCUGUCCAUGUGUAAACUGGAUAUGUUUUUGGACGGCUCAUGCUUGGCCUUGCGGCGAUAUUUUAGGACUCCUUUCCUCCUCUCCGCCACAGCUUUAACUAUUCAUGAUGGAUCGGCAAAGUAUUUCAAACCUGAAAUACAGGGGAUUGUGUUCUCCAUGACCAGAAUUUGAACCUCUCUCUUAACCAAGAGACAAAAAGGAUAAUAGGUACUGUCUUGGAAGGUGCUCUAUAAUUUGAUGUAUGAGGGGUCAGCAGACCAACAAAGAUUUUUUUUCCUCUGGUGAAAAAAUGCCCAAGGACUCCCGGAGCAGCUCAAACACGGAGAGUCAACCGCGAGACACCCCCGGCACAAUCUCCAUGCUGCUAAAAUAUGCAAAGUUUUCAUUUCUGCUCUGCACUCGCACAUCGUUUUCCACUUUGUGCUUGAAGUACCAUUCCACUUUGACACUGUUUUUAAAUGAUCCGAAGCGCUUGCCAGAAUUAUGAAGAACGCGACCAAAAAAAAAAUCGGCGAAUAUGUUCGAGAACCAGCCAGUUCUUUUGUAAACUUGCACGAUUCCUCUCUCUCUCCCUCUCCGUCUUUCUCUCUAAAAACUAGUUAUUUUGAAAUAUCAAUUUUGGUAUCUGACAUUGUUUAAAUAUAUGUGAAGCAAAAUUAUUAGAAUAGAUGCAAGCAACACAGUCCAAAUGCUUGCUUGUCUGUAUCGCAUACAAUACUUCUCACCACGUUAAAUAUGAUUUAACAUUUAUAAAGACGCUAAUGCUUUUUACUGUUUGUAUCAGCGAAAUGUUCACUAUCAGACGAUUCGGCGUUGGAAAUGUAUGAAAGAUCUGUUAUUGUGAAAGAGGGAAUUAAAAUAUGUUCGCAAAAUCGA